rnacentral:lncRNA from 1 species
UGCUGGGGGGUGGAAUGGGGCAGCCCCUCUUUGCUGUGCAGGGCAGGGGGCUCACGGUGUCCGUCUCUCCCUCCCAGAUGCACAGAGGGUCCUUGCCAAGCCCAACCACACCCUGCAGGACACUGGGCUGGCAGUUCGACCAGCUGCCCCACGGGAUUAUGGGAAGGUGCUUCUCCGGGGCCUGAACCCCCAAACCGACUGCAGCCUCCUGGAGCUCUAUGUGGAGUAUGUGCUGAACUGUGAGAGCCGGCGAUACACCAUCCACCGCAGCCCAGCCGGGGACCAAGCCCUGGUGCAGCUGCCAGAGCCGCUCAGUGACUCAGAGCUCCUGGGCGUGGAGGAGCGUGUGCGCCGGCGGCCGCUGGACGGGGGGCCGCUGUCCGUGGAGUGGGUGCAGCAGACAGACAGUGUGCUGGUGCAGAGCCGGGGCGCCGGGCUGAGCAAGGACCUGCUGGAGCUCUACUUUGAGAACAAGCGGAGCGGUG